GAGUAAUGUCUGGGAAACUGCCUGAUGGAGGGGGAUAACUACUGGAAACGGUAGCUAAUACCGCAUAACGUCGCAAGACCAAAGAGGGGGACCUUCGGGCCUCUUGCCAUCGGAUGUGCCCAGAUGGGAUUAGCUAGUAGGUGGGGUAACGGCUCACCUAGGCGACGAUCCCUAGCUGGUCUGAGAGGAUGACCAGCCACACUGGAACUGAGACACGGUCCAGACUCCUACGGGAGGCAGCAGUGGGGAAUAUUGCACAAUGGGCGCAAGCCUGAUGCAGCCAUGCCGCGUGUAUGAAGAAGGCCUUCGGGUUGUAAAGUACUUUCAGCGGGGAGGAAGGCGAUAAGGUUAAUAACCUUGUCGAUUGACGUUACCCGCAGAAGAAGCACCGGCUAACUCCGUGCCAGCAGCCGCGGUAAUACGGAGGGUGCAAGCGUUAAUCGGAAUUACUGGGCGUAAAGCGCACGCAGGCGGUCUGUCAAGUCGGAUGUGAAAUCCCCGGGCUCAACCUGGGAACUGCAUUCGAAACUGGCAGGCUAGAGUCUUGUAGAGGGGGGUAGAAUUCCAGGUGUAGCGGUGAAAUG
rnacentral:rRNA from 1 species